GUCUGCCUAGUAUAGUGGUCAGUACACUUCGUUGUGGUCUUCUCCCGAGGAACUCAUACGGUCCGAAGAAACCCAUGUUCGAUUCAUGGGGCAGACA